CAUCCCGAAUAUGAAUCGGCACUUCUGGUGCUGAACAUGAUGCCAAGGAAGAAUCUGUAAAUGUUCAUUUCAAGAGAUUGAAGGCAUUAAAGAUCACUACAAUGUUUUUACUGUAAGUCGGUCUUAAUAUUAAAACUGUUCUAAAUAUUAAACUACUAACUCAGGAUUGAUAAAUUACCUGCUUGUCUGAGAAUCUGUCUUUUCGCUGUUCGUAAAGUCUUCAAAGUUAUUACAUAACCUAA